rnacentral:misc_RNA from 1 species
AUUUCAAUGUCAUUAUCAUUAUUAUUGUAUUACAACUUCAUGUUAUAUAUAAUUAUGCUAUUCACACAAGGCUUACACGCAGAUUUAAAAAUACUUAUGGUUGUCCUAACUACUACCAUGUUUUCGUAGUUGUGCUACAGGCACAAUUAGUCAAAGUCACCCGAAUUCAGAAUACACAACCGGAAACUACAACGGCAAUCUUGUUCAUAAUAAAGGCAAUUCUAAAGUUUCAGCAGUGUUUCAUAUAACUUAAAACAAUGCACACAAAUAAAGCUAUUUACAAUCAAAGGACAUCUGCGUCCUUCCACUAAGCAUGAGGAGCUUCACAGUUGAUACAUCUUGAUGUCAAAUUUUGGCUUCAAUAACAUACCUACUUGUAGUCUUCAAAACGUUCCCCAUAAUUGCCCUCGAAAAAGGGGGCAUAAUAAACACCUUCCAACUCCUCUGAUACCAAAUAGUAAACUCUAAAAUUACAAAACUGGUAGAUUGUCCCAAGUUUUGAGGGAGGGUGAGAGAGAGAGAGAGAGA